rnacentral:rRNA from 1 species
GGGUUGUGAGGUUAAGCGACUAAGCGUACACGGUGGAUGCCCUGGCAGUCAGAGGCGAUGAAGGACGUGCUAAUCUGCGAAAAGCGUCGGUAAGGUGAUAUGAACCGUUACAGCCGGCGAUGUCCGAAUGGGGAAACCCAGUGUGAUUCGUCACACUAUCGUUAACUGAAUACAUAGGUUAACGAGGCGAACCGGGGGAACUGAAACAUCUAAGUACCCCGAGGAAAAGAAAUCAACCGAGAUUCCCCCAGUAGCGGCGAGCGAACGGGGAGCAGCCCAGAGUCUGAAUCAGCUUGUGUGUUAGUGGAACGGUCUGGAAAGUCCGACGGUACAGGGUGAUAGUCCCGUACACCAAAAUGCACAGGCUGUGAACUCGAAGAGUAGGGCGGGACACGUGGUAUCCUGUCUGAAUAUGGGGGGACCAUCCUCCAAGGCUAAAUACUCCUGACUGACCGAUAGUGAACCAGUACCGUGAGGGAAAGGCGAAAAGAACCCCGGCGAGGGGAGUGAAAAAGAACCUGAAACCGUGUACGUACAAGCAGUGGGAGCACCUUCGGGUGUGACUGCGUACCUUUUGUAUAAUGGGUCAGCGACUUAUAUUCUGUAGCAAGGUUAACCGUAUAGGGGAGCCGCAGGGAAACCGAGUCUUAACUGGGCGUUAAGUUGCAGGGUAUAGACCCGAAACCCGGUGAUCUAGCCAUGGGCAGGUUGAAGGUUGGGUAACACUAACUGGAGGACCGAACCGACUAAUGUUGAAAAAUUAGCGGAUGACUUGUGGCUGGGGGUGAAAGGCCAAUCAAACCGGGAGAUAGCUGGUUCUCCCCGAAAGCUAUUUAGGUAGCGCCUCGUGAACUCAUCUUCGGGGGUAGAGCACUGUUUCGGCUAGGGGGUCAUCCCGACUUACCAACCCGAUGCAAACUACGAAUACCGAAGAAUGUUAUCACGGGAGACACACGGCGGGUGCUAACGUCCGUCGUGAAGAGGGAAACAACCCAGACCGCCAGCUAAGGUCCCAAAGUCAUGGUUAAGUGGGAAACGAUGUGGGAAGGCACAGACAGCCAGGAUGUUGGCUUAGAAGCAGCCAUCAUUUAAAGAAAGCGUAAUAGCUCACUGGUCGAGUCGGCCUGCGCGGAAGAUGUAACGGGGCUAAACCAUGCACCGAAGCUGCGGCAGCGACACUAUGUGUUGUUGGGUAGGGGAGCGUUCUGUAAGCCUGCGAAGGUGUGCUGUGAGGCAUGCUGGAGGUAUCAGAAGUGCGAAUGCUGACAUAAGUAACGAUAAAGCGGGUGAAAAGCCCGCUCGCCGGAAGACCAAGGGUUCCUGUCCAACGUUAAUCGGGGCAGGGUGAGUCGACCCCUAAGGCGAGGCCGAAAGGCGUAGUCGAUGGGAAACAGGUUAAUAUUCCUGUACUUGGUGUUACUGCGAAGGGGGGACGGAGAAGGCUAUGUUAGCCGGGCGACGGUUGUCCCGGUUUAAGCAUGUAGGCUGAUUGUCCAGGCAAAUCCGGAUAAUCAAGGCUGAGGUGUGAUGACGAGGCACUACGGUGCUGAAGUAACAAAUGCCCUGCUUCCAGGAAAAGCCUCUAAGCAUCAGGUAACAUCAAAUCGUACCCCAAACCGACACAGGUGGUCAGGUAGAGAAUACCAAGGCGCUUGAGAGAACUCGGGUGAAGGAACUAGGCAAAAUGGUGCCGUAACUUCGGGAGAAGGCACGCUGGUGUGUAGGUGAAGUCCCUGCGGAUGGAGCUGAGACCAGUCGAAGAUACCAGCUGGCUGCAACUGUUUAUUAAAAACACAGCACUGUGCAAACACGAAAGUGGACGUAUACGGUGUGACGCCUGCCCGGUGCCGGAAGGUUAAUUGAUGGGGUUAUCCGUAAGGAGAAGCUCUUGAUCGAAGCCCCGGUAAACGGCGGCCGUAACUAUAACGGUCCUAAGGUAGCGAAAUUCCUUGUCGGGUAAGUUCCGACCUGCACGAAUGGCGUAAUGAUGGCCAGGCUGUCUCCACCCGAGACUCAGUGAAAUUGAACUCGCUGUGAAGAUGCAGUGUACCCGCGGCAAGACGGAAAGACCCCGUGAACCUUUACUAUAGCUUGACACUGAACAUUGAGCCUUGAUGUGUAGGAUAGGUGGGAGGCUUUGAAGCGUGGACGCCAGUCUGCGUGGAGCCAACCUUGAAAUACCACCCUUUAAUGUUUGAUGUUCUAACGUUGGCCCCUGACCGGGGUUGCGGACAGUGUCUGGUGGGUAGUUUGACUGGGGCGGUCUCCUCCCAAAGCGUAACGGAGGAGCACGAAGGUUAGCUAAUCCUGGUCGGACAUCAGGAGGUUAGUGCAAUGGCAUAAGCUAGCUUGACUGCGAGCGUGACGGCGCGAGCAGGUGCGAAAGCAGGUCAUAGUGAUCCGGUGGUUCUGAAUGGAAGGGCCAUCGCUCAACGGAUAAAAGGUACUCCGGGGAUAACAGGCUGAUACCGCCCAAGAGUUCAUAUCGACGGCGGUGUUUGGCACCUCGAUGUCGGCUCAUCACAUCCUGGGGCUGAAGUAGGUCCCAAGGGUAUGGCUGUUCGCCAUUUAAAGUGGUACGCGAGCUGGGUUUAGAACGUCGUGAGACAGUUCGGUCCCUAUCUGCCGUGGGCGCUGGAGAAUUGAGGGGGGCUGCUCCUAGUACGAGAGGACCGGAGUGGACGCAUCACUGGUGUUCGGGUUGUCAUGCCAAUGGCACUGCCCGGUAGCUAAAUGCGGAAGAGAUAAGUGCUGAAAGCAUCUAAGCACGAAACUUGCCCCGAGAUGAGUUCUCCCUGAGACUUUAAGUCUCCUGAAGGAACGUUAAAGACGAUGACGUUGAUAGGCCGGGUGUGUAAGCGCAGCGAUGCGUUGAGCUAACCGGUACUAAUGAACCGUGAGGCUUAACCUUACAACGCCGAAG